CCUACGGGUGUCAGCAGUGGGGGAUAUUGCACAAUGGGGGAAACCCUGAUGCAGCGACGCCGCGUGAGUGAAGAAGCGCCUCGGCGCGUAAAGCCCUUUCAGCAGGGAAGAAAAUUACGGUACCUGAAGAAGAAGCCCCGGCUAACUACGUUCCAGCAGCCGCGGUAAUACGUAGGGUGCAAGCGUUAUCCGGAUUUACUGGGUGUAAAGGGGGCGCCAACGGCGAUGAAAGCGAGGAGUGAAAGCCCUGGGCCCAACCCCGGGACUGCACUUGGAACUGCGUGGCUAGAGUGCAGGAGGGGCAGGCGGAAUUCCUGGUGUAGCGGUGAAAUGCGUAGAUAUCAGGAGGAACACCGGUGGCGAAGGCGGCCUGCUGGACUGCAACUGACGUUGAGGCCCGAAAGCGUGGGGAGCAAACAGGAUUAGAUACCCGAGUAGUC
rnacentral:rRNA from 1 species